AUUGAACGCUGGCGGCAUGCCUUACACAUGCAAGUCGAACGGCAGCACGGGUGCUUGCACCUGGUGGCGAGUGGCGAACGGGUGAGUAAUACAUCGGAACAUGUCCUGUAGUGGGGGAUAGCCCGGCGAAAGCCGGAUUAAUACCGCAUACGAUCUACGGAUGAAAGCGGGGGACCUUCGGUCCUCGCGCUAUAGGGUUGGCCGAUGGCUGAUUAGCUAGUUGGUGGGGUAAAGGCCUACCAAGGCGACGAUCAGUAGCUGGUCUGAGAGGACGACCAGCCACACUGGGACUGAGACACGGCCCAGACUCCUACGGGAGGCAGCAGUGGGGAAUUUUGGACAAAGGGCGAAAGCCUGAUCCAGCAAUGCCGCGUGUGUGAAGAAGGCCUUCGGGUUGUAAAGCACUUUUGUCCGGAAAGAAAUCCUUGGCCCUAAUACGGUCGGGGGAUGACGGUACCGGAAGAAUAAGCACCGGCUAACUACGUG
rnacentral:rRNA from 1 species